GUACACAAAUUCUAGAGUACACCAAAUUCUAGAGUACACCAAAUUCUAGAAUACACCAAAUUCUAGAGUACACCAAAUUCUAGAGUACACCAAAUUCUAGAGUACACCAAAUUCUAGAGUACACCAAAUUCUAGAGUACACCAAAUUCUAGAGUACACCAAAUUCUAAAGUUCACCAAAUUCUAGAGUACACCAAAUUCCUGAUACUCAAACGAAGGGAAUUUUUACUCUCGUGAUUGUAACAUUAUAUAAGAGAAGGAAUUAUAUGAGCAUGAGCUGAAUAUCCUUGUUGAAGCCCUGUCAACUACACUAGAAUCAAACCAUACCACGGGCGGGAUUUGAACCCGCGGUCAGAGAGUCUCAAAACUCCAGACCGUCGCGUUAGCCACUGGGUUCAAAUCCCGCCCGUGGUAUGUUUUGUUUGCAAUCGUGUCAUUACGAUUUCGUGAGACACUAGAAUCAUUAAGGAAGGUGCAUUACAACCUUUUUCUCCCACCAGACAAAAUUACUUUAAUCCCCAAAAUAAGGACUAAAAUGACCCCUUGAGUGUAUAUAUGCUCGGAAUGUAUCCUGUUAUAUGAGAGAGGUUUUAUUAAAGUUAACCCAAAUAACAACAUGUGCCAAGAAAUGAAACUUGUGUUGAUUUAGUUAAAUAUGUUUAUUAUGUACCCCAUACCCAUCCUGUGGGCGGUAGUCAAAAGAUUACAGAGGUACAUAAUGGAUCCAGGGACUGGACUCCAAAGUUAUGAUAGCUGAAUUAGUUACAAAGGUAAUGAACUCCAGGUAGAUCUGGUCACAGUCAUGACAAGUUACAAAGGUAAUGAACCAUCUACACUCCUAUACAUGGUGGAGAGCAAGAACAAUGUUACAAGACAAGCCUAAGAGUCAACCUGGGUAUAUACCCUUGUAUGUUAUUAUGUCUUGGCACACUGGGUAUAUACCCUUGUUGAUAAAUUAGACACAUGUGCAACUCUUGGGUAUCUUCAAUAAAGAUACCCAAGAGUUGCACAUGUGUCUAAUUUAUCAACAUGUCGGUUCUCUGAACCAUUCAUCUACAAAACUAUAUACCCUUGUGUUAUUAUGUCUUGGCAUACUGGGUAUAUACCCUUGUAUGUUAUUAUGUCUUGGCACACUGGGUAUAUACCCUUGUAUGUUAUUAUGUCUUGGCACACAUCUGAUACUAGUUUGCACUCGUAAAAAUUCUUCUCUGGUCAGUCAUCCGUUGCCUCACAUCUCACCUCUUUUUUAAUGUGUUUGCUCACACUAUGUUUCCAAAAACUGGACAGGAUAUAUACACCGGGAGGUGUGUUUCACUCUGUGUAUAUAUGUUGUGAGAUUAAUCCCUAUUUUAGGGAUUAAAAUAUUUUUUGUCUGGUGGUGAGGCUACAUGCAGCCUUAAUGAAUCUAGUGCAGUCGAUAGGCUUUCAACUCUCAUUAACCCAUUUCUAAAGGCUAAUCACAAUUUUUUUUUUUUUGCAAAUAGCAAAAUUAAACAAAAUACAAAGUGAAAAUUACAGAGUGCAGAGAUUAUUAAUAAAAUUAUCCCAAAACUUGAGAUAUCACCAGAGGAUCACUUCAUGUGGAACAUUAGUCAACUUUAGUAUCCUAAAGUUAGCUAAUGUUUAGUGUUACUUAUAUGGACGAAUAACCCUUAAAAAAAUUGACUCACGAAAUCGUAAUCACACGAAUGCAAACCAUACCACGGGCGGGGCUUGAACCCGCGAUCAGAGUCAUAAAACUCCAGACCAACGCACUAGCCAGCUGGCCCAGUGGCUAGAGCGUCGGUCUGGAGUUUUAUAACUCUGAUCGUGGUAUUUUUUUUUUUUAAGAAAUUGUUCGCCACAUAUAAUACUCAAAUUAAUAACAAAUUACUCAAAUUAGUUUAUGAAGCCAUUUUAAAUAGCAUUAUAAACCAAAAUACAGAGAAAUAUUCGAAGACUUGUAGCCCAAUAGACUCCAUAAUUAACAAUUAUGAAGCAAAGUAGAAAAUAACAAACUUCCCUUCAUUAUAAGACAGCAAGAAAAUAGGGACAUAUAAAUUAUGAUCUUAUAAAAAUAACGAAACAUAGUGGAAAUGUUUGGAAAGCGGCAAGUGCAUCACUCAACGAGGCAAUAAACUACACGAGGAGGCUGUUUGACAGAGGCCAUACACAAAAAAGACACCUUGUUUAAUAAGAGCAUAAAAGAGGAACACAACACCAGGCUCAUACUUGGCAGGUGCUUGUUAAACCCAAACCCACCAACAAAAAUAUUCGCCCAACCCAUUAUCAAUGAUACCCAAGGAAUAAACUUUUGACAACCCUGUUAACUCAAGUGCAAAUCCCAUUCAAAUCCAACCCCUCUCAUUCGUGUAUUUAUUAAUGUAGCAACAUAUGGGUAAUUACACACACAUAUACAUCUC